rnacentral:rRNA from 1 species
AGCUACUGCUAUCGGAAUUCGAUUAAGCCAUGCGAGUCGAGAGGGUUAGGCCCUCGGCUGAAUGCUCAGUAACACGUGGAUAAUUUGCCCUCAGGUAGGGGAUAACCUCGGGAAACUGAGAAUAAUACCCUAUAGGCAUCCUUUGCUGGAAUGCUUGGAUGUUCAAAGGCGACGCCUGAGGAUAAGUCUGCGGCCUAUCAGGUAGUAGUGGGUGUAACGGACCCACUAGCCAGCGACGGGUACGGGCCUUGAAAGAGGUAGCCCGGAGAUGGACUCUGAGACACGAGUCCAGGCCCUACGGGGCGCAGCAGGCGCGAAAACUUCGCAAUGCGGGAAACCGUGACGAGGGAAUUCCGAGUGCUCAUACAAUGUAUGGGCUUUUAUGAUGUGUAAAAAGUAUCAGGAAUAAGGGCUGGGUAAGACCGGUGCCAGCCGCCGCGGUAACACCGGCAGCUCGAGUGGUAGCCACUAUUAUUGGGCCUAAAGCGUCCGUAGCCGGUCAGGUAAAUCCAUGGGUAAAUCGUACAGCUUAACUGUACGGCUUCCGUGGAGACUGCCUGACUUGGGACCGGGAGAGGUUGGAGGUACUCCUAGGGUAGGAGUGAAAUCCUGUAAUCCUAGGUGGACCACCGGUGGCGAAGGCGUCCAACCAGAACGGCUCCGACGGUGAGGGACGAAGGCUAGGGGCGCGAACCGGAUUAGAUACCCGGGUAGUCCUAGCUGUAAACGCUGCAGACUUGGUGUUGGAGAUCCUACGAGGGUGUUCAGUGCCGAAGAGAAGUUGUUAAGUUUGCCGCCUGGGAAGUAUGGCCGCAAGGCUGAAACUUAAAGGAAUUGGCGGGGG